GCCUGCAUAGCUCAGUUGCUUAGAGCAUGGUGCUGAUAACACCAAGGUUGUAGGUUCGAUCCCUGUAUGGGACU